rnacentral:rRNA from 1 species
CCUACGGUAGGCAGCAGUGAGGAAUAUUGGUCAAUGUCCGGAAGGCUGAACCAGCCAUGCCGCGUGAAGGUCAGUGCCCUAUGGGCGUUAAACUUCUGUUGUGCGGGAGCAAUAAUGGUCACGUGUGGCCAGACGAGAGUACCGUACGAAUAAGCAUCGGCUAACUCCGUGCCAGCAGCAGCGGUAAUACGGGGGAUGCAAGCGGUAUCCGGAUUUAUGGGGUUUAAAGGGUGCGUAGGCUGUGAGGUAAGUCAGCGGUGAAAUGCCCCCGCUCAACGGGGUGAAGUGACAUUGGUACUGCCUUGCUGGAAUGCGGAUGCCGUGGGAGGAAUGUGUGGUGUAGCGGUGAAAUGCAUAGAUAUCACACAGAACACCGAUUGCGAAGGCAUCUCACGAAUCCGCGAUUGACGCUGAUGCACGAAAGCGUGGGUAUCAAACAGGAUUAGAUACCCCAGUAGUC